AACGAACGCUGGCGGCAUGCCUAACACAUGCAAGUCGAACGAGACCUUCGGGUAUAGUGGCGCACGGGUGCGUAACGCGUGGGAACCUGCCAUUAGGUUCGGAAUCACUCCCCGAAAGGGGUGCUAAUACCGGAUACUGUCUUCGGUCAAAAGGUUUAUCGCCUUUGGAUGGGACCGAGUUGGAUUAGCUAGUUGGUAGGGUAAAAGCCUACCAAGGCGACGCUGCAUAGCUGGACUGAGAGGAAGAUCGGCCAGAAUGGGACUGGGACACGGCCCAGACGCCUGCGGGGGGGAGCAGGAGAGAAGAUUGGAAAAUGGGCUAAAGCUAGAUCCAGCAAUGCCACGUGAAGGAGUAAGGCCUAAGGAUGGUAAAGGUCUUUUACCCGAGAGGAGAAUGACAGUACCGGGAGAAUAAGGGCCGGCUAACUCCGUG
rnacentral:rRNA from 1 species